UUCCGACGUUGCGUUGCUUGAUCUACUUUGCCAGAAGCACCUUCAUUGAUACAAAAAGAUGAUGGCAGCAAAACUCUAAAACAAUUUCGAACACUUGCUCGGGGAUAAAUGCUGCAGGGGUUCACUAUGAUCGUUCUGCUAUGUAGCUUUUCUCUGCUCUUCGAGUUUUUUUACACCAAUCUGAAGCAACAAAAUCAACGGCAGCUGCAGCUCCGCAUCAACUACGCGUCAGGUUUUCCGCAGUCAUCAUAUCUGAUGGUAAAAUGGUUAAAUCUAAUAAUGCUAGUCAUGGCCACUCAACAUCAAAAAGUGGUUGGAAAGCCCAUUGUUCAGAUUUAGAACGCGAUUUAAAAGAUUUCACAUGAAGUCUGAUGUAUCUAAGAGAAUCUGUAAUCGUUUUCAGAUGCUUC